UACGAAGGGUGCAAGCGUUAAUCGGAAUUACUGGGCGUAAAGCGUGCGUAGAUGGCCUGUUAAGUCGGAUGUGAAAGCCCCGGGCUCAACCUGGGAAUGGCAUCCGAUACUGGUGGGCUAGAGUGCGGUAGAGGAGAGCGGAAUUCCCGGUGUAGCGGUGAAAUGCGUAGAGAUCGGGAGGAACAUCCGUGGCGAAGGCGGCUCUCUGGACCAGCACUGACGUUGAGGCACGAAAGCGUGGGGAGCAAACAGG
rnacentral:rRNA from 1 species